AUGAACGCUAGCUACAGGCUUAACACAUGCAAGUCGAGGGGCAGCACAGGUAGCAAUACGUGGGUGGCGACCGGCGGAUGGGUGCGUAACGCGUAUGCAACCUACCAUUGAUUGGGGCAUAGCCCGAAGAAAUUCGGAUUAAUACUCCAUAAUAUUCAUCAAAGGCAUCUUUUAUGAAUUAAAGCUUUUGCGAUCAAUGAUGGGCAUGCGUGACAUUAGUUAGUUGGUGAGGUAACGGCUCACCAAAACGAUGAUGUCUAGGGGUUCUGAGAGGAUUAUCCCCCACACUGGUACUGAGACACGGACCAGACUCCUACGGGAGGCAGCAGUGAGGAAUAUUGGUCAAUGGACGCAAGUCUGAACCAGCCAUGCCGCGUGCAGGAUGACGGCCCUAUGGGUUGUAAACUGCUUUUCCACGGGAAGAACCCUCCGACGUGUCGGAGACUGACGGUACCGUGGGAAUAAGCAUCGGCUAACUCCGUG
rnacentral:rRNA from 1 species